GUUUCGUUAGCAGAAAACCUUUUCAAGGCGUCUUUGGAAGUCACAUUGGAUAACUCCUGAUGCCUGCGCCAAGUGGAAUCUUCCUUUGGGGCAUUUUCUAGAAGGAUCCCUCCUUCCUUCUCUGCAAAAGGGAACCGUCCCCCCGAAAGGGCCUGGGCCUUUGGGAAAAGGGGUUUAGAAAGCCAGGCGCGGGGACCCUUCUUUGGGGGCGGUGGCCGCAUCCCAGGAUCCCUUCCUAGGGGAGGCCUGGGCCCAGAUGUGAGGCUGGGGGCCUCUCCCCAGGGCUCAGGGCCCCAGGAAUGCAGGGCCAAGGGGGCCCAUGAGCCUGCGGCCCCCCACCCCGAAGCCAGGAACCCCGGCAAAUGAGUCCAGCCGGACAGUCCCGCGCUCAGGGCGGCGGCCGGCGGCGGGGUCAGGCUGGGGUCUGCCCGGCGACCUCGCGCCUGGCCCGCGAGUUCAGGUGCCCCGGAGCCAGG
rnacentral:lncRNA from 1 species